rnacentral:rRNA from 1 species
GACGAACGCUGGCGGCGUGCUUAACACAUGCAAGUCGAACGGAAAGGCCCUGCUGUUGGGGUGUUCUCGAGUGGCGGACGGGCGAGUAACACGUGAGUAGCCUACCCUUGGCUGUGGGAUAACAUCAGGAAACUGGGGCUACUACUGGAUAGGAACGCCUCCUGCAUGGAGGGGGUGGGAAAGUUUCGGCGGUCUGGGCUGGACUCGCGGCUUAUCAGCUCGUUGGUGGGGUAGUGGUUUCCCAAGGCGUUGGCGGGUCGCCGGCCUGGGAGGGGGACCGGCGACAAUGGGCCUGAGGGAGGCCGCAGACUGCAACGGGGCGCAGCGGUGGGGAAUAUUGCGCAAUGGGCGGAAGCCUGUUGCGGAGGCGCCGCGGUCGGGAUGACGGCCCUCCGGGUGUAAACCGCGUUAGCCUGUGACGAAGCGUGAGUGACGGUAAUGGGUAAAGAAGCACCGGCUAACUACGUG